rnacentral:rRNA from 1 species
UUUCUCAUUCCUCAUGAGAAAUAAAGAAUUCUCUCCUUUUUUUUCUCUAUUAUUCUUUUGAUUCUUGCUUUAUAUUUCAUAACACUUUUAAUUUUUUUGCCUUAUGAAUCCCCUUAUUUGUGUAUUGCAAAACUUCUAUAAAAUGAAUUGUAAUUUUUAAUUCUUUUCAAUUAGUUUGUCUAGCUUUUUUGAAAAAGAAAAUAGGAAACUCUUGACUCUAAUCUAAUUAAAGAAGCAGAAUUGAUUGUUCCCAUCAAGGGCGAAAGACGUUUUAAUUGGAUCAUGAAGUAUUUACCUAAAAUUAAGUAUGAGCCCGCAUGAUUUUCUAACAUUUUGUAUUGAACCAUUAGACACCUUUAGAUGCAUAAAUAAUAGUAAUACAUUAUUUUUUGUUCGUUACGUUAAAAAGUCACCUUAUUAUAACUUAUGAAACGUUUGGCUGACUAAUUGAAUUUUUUUCCUUUUUUUGCAUAAAUGAUGUAAAGUUUGAUUGACAGUAUUAGAUAUACAUAUCUAUAUUAAAUUAGGCAGAAAUCAACUGUUAGUUUAUACGAGAUUGAAUAUAUAAUCAAAAUUGCAUAUCCUUAACAAUUGAGGAUGCAUACGAACAGGUUUACCUAAUGCAUCUCUGGAAAGUAGCGAUUGUGAAUUUUUUCGGAGAUUUAAAAAAAAAGGGAUUUAGAAACAAUGUUAUAAUACAUAUUUAUAUCAAUUACUCCAUCCGUUCAUAUUCAACAAUACUUAUCCAAUUUGAAAAUUAAUGUAUAAUUUAUCAUUAAUUAUCCAUUUUACCCUUAUUAGAGAAGGUGAACUAGAUAUAACUGAAUUUUGUUUCAGUGUUCAAGUUACUCCUCAAAUCUUUUGACAUUCCAUGAGCAAAUCCUAAGUUGAAAUUGAUGUGUUUAGCAUUAUCAUUUCAAUAUACGAUUGAAUUAAAUUUGUUUGCAGCAGUUGUGAUGUGUGAUUUGCAGCUAUUAUUUCUAUCUUGAUAGUCAGUCUUAUGUGAUCUUUCUAAACUAACAGAAGAAUGUACAGCCACAUCGUGUUGUUAUUGUAGCAGCCACCCUUAAAAGAGUGCGUAAUAGUCCACUAAUCGAGCGCUCUUGCUCAGAUGAACAGGACAAAGUGAUCAGUCGAAGCUGUGGGAUGUAAAAAUAUAUCGAUAAGGGAGAGUUCCGCCUUAUAAAGAAGCCUCCACGCAAGCGGUUCUGGACGAAGCGGAAGCGAGAAUGUCUGCUUGAGUAACACAAACAUUGAUGAGAAUCCAAUGCCCCAAAAACCUAAGGGUUCCUCUGCAAGGUUCAUCCAAGGAGGGUGAGUCAGGGCCUAAGAUCAAGCCGAAAGGCAUAGUCUAUGGACAACAGGUGAAUAUUCUUGUACUACCCCUUGUUGGUCCCGAGGGACAGAGGAGGCUAGGUUAGCCGAAAGAUAGUUAUCGGUUUAAGAAUGUAAGAUGUCCCUAUUUUUUUUAAGGGUAAGAAGGGGUAGAGAAAAUGCCUCGAGCCAAUGUUCGAAUACCAGGCACUACAACGCAUAAGUAACCCAUGCCAUACUCCUAAGAAAAACUCGAACAACUUUGAACAAAAGGGUACAUGUACCCAAAACCGACACAGGCAGGUAGGUAGAGAAUACCUAGGGGCGCGAGACAACUCACUCUAAGGAACUCGGCAAAAUAUCCCCAUAACUUUGAAAGAAGGGUUGCCUCCUCACAAAGGGGGUCAUAGUAACCAGGCCCGGGUGACUGUUUACGGAAAACACAUGUCUCCGCAAAGUCGUAAAACUAUGUAUGGGGCUGAAGCCUGCCUAAUACGGUAGGUCAAGGAAAUUGGUGACUUAAAGAUAGGGAAGCCGACGAUCGAAGCCUUGGUGAACAACGGUCGUAACUAUAACGGUCCUAAGGUAGCAAAUUUUCUUAUCGGGUAAGUUUCAACCUAUACAAAAGGCAUAACGAUAUGGGCACUAUCUUGGAGAGAGGCUCAGUAAGAUACACUUGUCUGUAAAGAUGUAGACUACCUGCACCUGGACAGAAAGACCUUAUGAAGCUUUCUAUUUCUUGGGAUUGGCUUUGGGCCUUUCCUACGCAGCUUGGAUGGAAGGCGAAGAAGGCCUCCUUUUGGGGGGGGGGGGGGGAUCAAUGAGAUACUACUCUGAAAGGUCUAGAAUUAUAACCUUAUGUCAGGACCUACGUACCAAGGGACAGUCUCAGAUAGACAGUUUCUAUAGGGCACAGGCAUCCCAAAAGGUAACAGAGGCAUGCAAAGGUUUCUUCGGAUUGGACGGAGAUUGGCCCUCGAGUGCAAAGGCAGAAUAGAGCUUGAUUGUAAGACCCACCCGUUGAGCAAGGACAAAAGUCAGCCUUAGUGAUCCGGCGAUGCCGAGUGGAAGGGCUGUCACUCAACAGAUAAAAGUUACUCUAUGGAUAACAUGUUGAUCUUCCCCAAGAGCUCACAUCGCCGGGAAGUUUUGGCACCGCGAUAUCGGCUCUUCACUACCUGGGGCUGGAGUAUGUUCUAAGGAUUGGGUUGUUCGCCCAUCAAAGCAGUACGUGAGCUAAGUUCAGAACGUCGUGAGACAGUUCGGGUAUGUGAAUCUUUUUACUAAUUUUGUACUUAAUAAAAUAUCCUGCACACAAUAAUUUAUUUAUUUUUAUAUACAUUUGUUCUUAAUUAACGUUUGAUACAUUUGCAACGUACGUAUACUAAACUACUAUUCUCAAUAAAAUGUGUAUUACAUCUCAUUUACUCCAUCCAUCUUUACUUGUCUAGUAUGUUUAACAUAAUUGUCCAAUUUUACUUGUUUGUUUGAAAAAUCAAUACACAAUGUAU